UUCUUGAAAACCAAGACACAAACACACACAUUAGCCUAGGCCUACACAGGGUCAGGAUCAUCAAUAUCACUGUCUUCUCCCCCCAUAUCUUGUUCCACUGGAAGGCCUUUAGGGCAAUAACGCACAUGGAGCUGUCAUCUCCUGUGAUAACAAUACCUUCUUCUGGAUACCUCUCAAAGGACCUGCCUGAGGCUGUUUCACAGUUAACAUUUUUUAAUAAGUGGAAGGAGCAUACACUAAAAGAGUGAGAAAACAUACAGUAUAGUAAAUACAUAAACCAGUAACAUAGUCAUUUAUUAUCAUUUUCAAGUAUUAUGUACGGCAGCAGUCCCCAAUCUUUUUGGCACCAGGGAUUGGUUUCAUGGAAGACAAUUGUUCCACUGGAUGGAGGGAGGAGGAUGGUUUCAGAGGCAUUAGAUUCUCAUAAGGAGUGUGCAACCUAGAUCAAUCGCAUGAGCAGUUCACAAUAGGGUUCUCGCUCCUAUGACAAUCUAAUGCUGCUGCUGAUCUGACAGGAGGCGGAGCUUAGCUUCGCUUGUUUGCCCACCGCUCACCUCCUACUGUGUGGCCCAGUUCCCAACAGGCCACGGACUGGUACCAGUCCAUGGCCUGGGGUUGAGGAUCCCUGAUGUACUGUACAUCAUUCUAUGAGCUUGACUUUUAUACAACUGGAAGCACAGUAGUAUCAUCACAGCAGCAUCACCACGAACACAUGAGUAAUGCAUUGCACUACCGUACAAAGGCCAUAACAUCAGUAGGCAAUAGAAUUUUUCUGAUCCUUUAUGAUCUUAUGGAACCAUCGUCAUAUAUGUGUAAGUCAUUGACCGAAAUGUCAUUAUACAGCUUACGACUGUACAAAAACAAAGAACAAUAAUCUCUUCAUCUCGAUCUUUUAGGCAACCAUUCUUUUAGGUUUUUCUUCUACUGUAAAUACAGUGCCAAUUCUUGAUUCAAUUUUAGACUUUAUCUCUUGGCUUUCUAUUUUGGUACAUGAAGAUUUAGCUCUUUAAAAAUGCCUUAUGCCCCUUUGUUAAACCUCUAAAUAUAGUUUUAUCACAAUUUAUUGGUCAAACCAAUAUUUAAUGCUUUCAAUAUUCAAUGUAUCCCUAAAAUCAAGAAACUCAAGCCUUUCAGUUUGAGCAAAGUUUCUUACCUUAUUUCUUUAAUAAUUUCCUCCUCUGCACUGGAUUCAUUAUUUCCUCCAUCUCUGGGAUGAGUAUUUAUUCAUCUCAUUAUAUCGUAUUAGUUUCACUCACUACAGAGACUUCCAGUGUCCCAGAUAACAUAUUUACUUUUGUGCAACUCUUUAAGUUUCUGUAGUUAAUAACUGCAUUAUUCGCUGACUUUUUUGAGCCUGUGACUAAGUUUCCUGUAUCCCACUAUGGCUCUGUUUAAUGUCUUUUUAUACAAUUUUCCACUUGGUCAUGUCUGCCAGAUAAUUUAUUGUUGUUAUUUCUCACCUUUCUCCUCUCAGACAGCCUCCCAUCUUCCUACUCCCUACUCAGGCCCAGUUACAGCCCUGAGAUUUUUCUUCACCCUCCUUGAAGGAAUUCCCUUUGCCUCUCUCCUGUGGCUCUCAUUUUCUAGAUCUUUCUCUUUUUGACCAAGAAAAGAAUUAGCUAUUGCUAGUAGCUCCUUCAUUUUGACGAAGAAAUAUCUUUCAGUAACUUCAAGGAAUAUAGAAAUAACUAUUUUGAGACUUUGAAUAUCUGAAAAUAUCUUACUAUAUGUAUGCUCACAGGUAUUGACAGUUUGACUGGAUAUAGAAUUCUAGGUUGAAAAUUAUCGUUUUUCUUAUAAUUCUGAAGACAUUGCUCUAUUGUCUUUAAGUUCCUAGGGUUGCUGUAAAAUGCCAUCCUUAGUCCUCAUCCUUUGUAUAUGACCCUUUUUUCUCCUCUGUCUCUCUCUCAGGAAGCUUUUAGUCUUUAGCCAUUUCACAAAGAUGCAUUUGUUUUCACCGAUUGUGCUGGGCAUUCAGUGGGUCCUUUUGAUCAAGAAGCUUAUGAGUCUGGGGAAUGAGCUUCAGUAUGGGCUAAAUUGCCUUCCUCUGUGCCUGGUGUCCUUGAGUCUAGGUCUUCUCUGAUUCAUUUUUUCUAGAAUUUAUAUCUCACGUCUACACUGGAGGUGUGGUUGAGGAUGGCUGCCUAACUGGUAAAGCAGGAAUGGGGACCUAGAAGGUCUAACUGCCCCUUAUUCAUUUCUUCAAAGAUGUCUCUACUUUAUUCAGAGUCACAUCUUCCUUUUUGCACACUCAAUGCCCCCCAUUCCAGGGUGGACAAAUGGAUUCGAUUCUCCUCAGUAUCCCCUCAGGCAAUCAAGUUUACCCUCCUUGGUUCUGCCAAGAGGUUGGUCAUUCCUCCUUCAAUUUCCUCCAUCUAUUUUCUCAUAUUGUAGUUGAGGGUCACAGAGGGUCUCCAUGCUGCAUCAAAGAUGUAUUUGUUUGAUGGUUUUCACCCCUCUACUUCCUCUGCUUCUCUUCAUUUUCUCAUACAGAAAAGUUCAGACCUCCCUUUGUUCAGCUUCUUUCAGAUUUUGUCCAGGGUCCUUUCUUUUCACUCAGAUGGUGUAUUAGUUUGCUGUGACAAAUUGAGACAGCCAGAUGGGAA
rnacentral:lncRNA from 1 species